UGGUGGAGCGAUUUGUCUGGUUAAUUCCGAUAACGAACGAGACUCCAACCUACUAACUAGUGGGCAAAUCGAUUGUCGUUUGCAACACUUCUUAGAGGGAUAGGUGACGUUUAGUCACAUGAGAAGGAGCAAUAACA
rnacentral:rRNA from 1 species